rnacentral:rRNA from 1 species
CCUACGGGGCGCUGCAGUGAGGAAUAUUGGUCAAUGGACGAGAGUCUGAACCAGCCAAGUAGCGUGAAGGAUGACUGCCCUAUGGGUUGUAAACUUCUUUUAUAUGGGAAUAAAAUGUUCCACGUGUGGGAUUUUGUAUGUACCAUAUGAAUAAGGAUCGGCUAACUCCGUGCCAGCAGCCGCGGUAAUACGGAGGAUCCGAGCGUUAUCCGGAUUUAUUGGGUUUAAAGGGAGCGUAGGUGGAUUGUUAAGUCAGUUGUGAAAGUUUGCGGCUCAACCGUAAAAUUGCAGUUGAAACUGGCAGUCUUGAGUACAGUAGAGGUGGGCGGAUUUCGUGGUGUAGCGGUGAAAUGCUUAGAUAUCACGAAGAACUCCGAUUGCGAAGGCAGUUCACUGGACUGCAACUGACACUGAGGCUCGAAAGUGUGGGUAUCAAACAGGAUUAGAUACCCUUGUAGUC